UCGACGAACUUACCCUUUGUUUACAUUGGGAGCGGUUAGUGGCGGACUGGUGAGUAACACGUAAGCAACCUGCCUAUUAGAGGGGAAUAACAGUGAGAAAUCAUUGCUAAUACCGCAUAUGCUCACAGUAUCACAUGAUACAGUGAGGAAAGGAGCAAUCCGCUAAUAGAUGGGCUUGCGUCUGAUUAGCUAGUUGGUGGGGUAACGGCCUACCAAGGCGACGAUCAGUAGCCGGACUGAGAGGUUGAACGGCCACAUUGGGACUGAGAUACGGCCCAGACUCCUACGGGAGGCAGCAGUCGGGAAUAUUGCGCAAUGGAGGAAACUCUGACGCAGUGACGCCGCGUAUAGGAAGAAGGUUUUCGGAUUGUAAACUAUUGUCGUUAGGGAAGAUAAAAGACUGUACCUAAGGAGGAAGCUCCGGCUAACUAUGUGCCAGCAGCCGCGGUAAUACAUAGGGAGCAAGCGUUAUCCGGAAUUAUUGGGUGUAAAGGGUGCGUAGACGGAGGAACAAGUUAGUUGUGAAAUCCCUCGGCUUAACUGAGGAACUGCAACUAAAACUAUUCCCCUUGAGUGUCGGAGAGGAAAGUGGAAUUCCUAGUGUAGCGGUGAAAUGCGUAGAUAUUAGGAGGAACACCAGUGGCGAAGGCGACUUUCUGGACGAUAACUGACGUUGAGGCACGAAAGUGUGGGGAGCAAACAGGAUUAGAUACCCUGGUAGUCCACACUGUAAACGAUGGAUACUAGGUGUAGGGUGUAUUAAGCACUCUGUGCCGCCGCAAACGCAUUAAGUAUCCCACCUGGGGAGUACGACCGCGAGGUUGAAACUUAAAGGAAUUGACGGGGGCCCGCACAAGCAGUGGAGUAUGUGGUUUAAUUCGAAGCAACGCGAAGAACCUUACAGGGCUUGACAUAUACC
rnacentral:rRNA from 1 species